rnacentral:rRNA from 1 species
CAAAAACAUGUCUUUUAGAAAUAAAUUUAAAGUCUGACCUGCCCACUGAAAAUUUAAAGGCCGCAGUAUACUAACUGUGCAAAGGUAGCAUAAUAAUUAGUCUUUUAAUUGAAGGCUGGAAUGAAUGGUUGGACGAAGUAUUAACUGUUUCAUUAAAAUUUGAGCUAGAACUUUAUUUUUUAGUCAAAAAGCUAAAAUUAAAUUAAAAGACGAGAAGACCCUAUAAAGCUUUAUAUUUUUAGUAAUAUAUAAAUUAAGAUUAGUUUAUGUUUAUUACAAAAAAGUAUUUUAUUGGGGUGAUAUUAAAAUUUAACUAACUUUUAAUUUUUUAAACCAUUAAUUUUUGAGUAUAUGAUCCAUUUUUUAUGAUUGUAAAUUUAAGUUACUUUAGGGAUAACAGCGUAAUUUUUUUGGAGAGUUCAUAUCGAUAAAAAAGAUUGCGACCUCGAUGUUGGAUUAAGAAAUAUGGUUAGGCGUAGCCGUUUAAAUGAUAAGUCUGUUCGACUUUUAAUUUCUUAC